rnacentral:rRNA from 1 species
UACAGAGGUCUCAAGCGUUGUUCGGAUUCAUUGGGCGUAAAGGGUGCGUAGGCGGCGCGGUAAGUCGGAUGUGAAAUCUCGGAGCUUAACUUCGAAACUGCAUUCGAUACUGCCGUGCUUGAGGACUGGAGAGGAGACUGGAAUUUACGGUGUAGCGGUGAAAUGCGUAGAUAUCGUAAGGAAGACCAGUGGCGAAGGCGGGUCUCUGGACAGUUCCUGACACUGAGGCACGAAGGCCAGGGGAGCAAACGGG